rnacentral:rRNA from 1 species
CCUACGGGGGGCAGCAGUGGGGAAUAUUGGACAAUGGGGGGAACCCUGAUCCAGCGACGCCGCGUGAGUGAAGAAGUCUUUCGGUAUGUAAAGCUCUAUCAGCAGGGAAGAAAAUGACGGUACCUGACUAAGAAGCGCCGGAUAAAUACGUGCCAGCAGCCGCGGUAAUACGGAGGGGGCAAGCGUUAUCCGGAUUUACUGGGUGAAAAGGGAGCGUAGACGGUGCAGCAAGUCUGAUGUGAAAGGUCGGGGCCCAACCCCGGGACUGCAUUGGAAACUGUCGAACUGGAGUACAGGAGAGGUGAGCAGAAUUCCAGGUGUAGCGGUGAAAUGCGUAGAUAUUAGGAGGAACACCAGUGGCGAAGGCGGCUUACUGGAC